GCGGAGGGAUCAUUAAAGAGUUGCGAGACUCCCAAACCAUUGUGAACGUAUCCGUCAGUGUUGCUUCGGCGGGCGUCCCCGGGGAGGGGACGCAGCCCAAGGCCCCGAGAGGGGCGGCGGGCGCCCGCCGGAGGUACCAAACCCUUCUGUAUUAUAGUGGCACUUCUGAGUAAACAAGCAAAAUAAGUCAAAACUUUCAACAACGGAUCUCUUGGUUCUGGCAUCGAUGAAGAACGCAGCGAAAUGCGAUAAGUAAUGUGAAUUGCAGAAUUCAGUGAAUCAUCGAAUCUUUGAACGCACAUUGCGCCCGCUGGUAUUCUAGCGGGCAUGCCUGUUCGAGCGUCAUUUCAACCCUCAAGCCCUGCUUGGUGUUGGGGCCCUACGGCUGCCGUAGGCCCUGAAAAAAAGUGGCGGGCUCGCUAUAGCUCCGAGCGUAGUAGAAAUAUCUCGCUAGGGACGUGUGGCGCGCUCCUGCCGUUAAAGACCCCUCUUUAACACUAGGUUGACCUCGGAUCAGGUAGGAAUACCCGCUGAACUUAAGCAUAUCAAU
rnacentral:rRNA from 1 species